rnacentral:lncRNA from 1 species
AUGUAUUUCUUACAACUUUUUUCCUUAGUACCCUCUUUUUUUUUCUUUUCUGUCCUCUUCUGUCACACAGCCUCAUCUCCUAUACCUUUCCCUCCUACUGGUACCUCCUUUUUGUCCUGUGUGGGAAGUGAUUCACCUCCUUCACUCACCAGUACCCAGCCUGAUGUUUGGUCUAGCACAGACCCUGUAAAGGUCAUGUUGUUGCCACCUUUCCUAAGUGACCAGGCACAGCAUGUUAGUGUCCGGGGACCCUUUCGCCUCUUCUGCCAAGCCACAGCAUUCUUAAAAUGGAUGACAAAGUCCGGAUGA